rnacentral:rRNA from 1 species
UACGUAGGGAGCAAGCGUUGUCCGGAAUCAUUGGGCGUAAAGCGCGCGUAGGCGGCCCCGUAAGUCCGCUGUGAAAGUCAAAGGCUCAACCUUUGAAAGCCGGUGGAUACUGUGGGGCUAGAGUCCGGAAGAGGCGAGUGGAAUUCCUGGUGUAGCGGUGGAAUGCGCAGAUAUCAGGAGGAACACCAAUAGCGAAGGCAGCUCGCUGGGACGGUACUGACGCUGAGACGACGAAAGCGUGGGGAGCGAACAGG